CGUGUGUGUACACCGCAUUUCCUGCGGGUGCGAUUCUAUGUAAGUUGUCACCGGCAGGCAACCGUGGAAGGUUUCCAGGUGAAAUUACUGCAAGUUGUGUGUUUGGUAGUGGCGACAGGAACAUGCUACUGAAACUCGUCAUAUCGGUGUACUUUAAUUUUUCCAUAAGUAACAAUCACGAUAUGCACAUACACUCCGAUUUCUAAAUGUUACGAUAUUUACUGGUCUAUAUAAAAUGCUAUAAUUAAUGGAAACUACCAUUGAAAUGAUUAGUCGUUCAGAGUUUUGUAUUCAUGCAAAAUAAAAUCCUCGGAUAUAAGCAUUAAAUUACAUUAUAUUAAAUUAAAUUAAAUUAAUUUCGAUUGAAUUAAAAUUUUAAUAAUGCGAAUGAUAAAACUGAUCAAAAUAUUGCAUAUAUUAAAUAGAAGCAUUAUAUUUUAUUAUACAUAAUUGAUAACGCUUUUAUUACAUUGAAUCUAUAUGAGUUUCUUUAAAGUUUCGAACGAGAUAAUAACUUUUAAAGAUCUUUAAUAGUUUUCUAAUAAUUUUUCAGGUUUAUUUCAUUUCCAGCAAAUGUCUUAAUAGAUAUGAAUGGGGCACGUAUAUCGUGAUAAAAUGCGAAUUACGAUCGAGGAUGCAGUAGUUAGAGUGAAGCUGCGAGUAUCGUGCGCUUUAUGGAAUUUCUGUCGCCCCUUUAACAAUAAUUUCGUGAGCACGCUAUCGAAGGGUAAAAAGCAUUUUCCGAGAAGAGCGUAAGAGGAGGCAAGAAAGGGGAUCGUCUAAGAGACAACAUCCGAGAAAAAGAGAACGUCGAAGAGAAGCUGAGAGGGGUUGGUGCCAUCUUGUCCAGCAAGGAUUCCACGUCGUAUGAGGUCCUACGGUUUAAUAAUACAUCCCAGGACCGUUAAUCACCCUCGUGAAAUAUAAUUUAAUACCUGAGCGAACGAGUGCCGACCACUAAAAAUGACGAACGGCCAGGAAACACGCGGCUAACUCACCAGCCAGCCCCUUCAGCGCUCUGCUAUAAUCACCCCUUGCUGGUGGACGUGCAAUAACGAUAAAGGCUUGGGUAGUCCUGAACGAGUCUUUUGGUGUGACCGCUCGUGAAAGGCAUAUACUAGUUGGCUGUGCAUUACGUUCGUCCAGUGCCACCGUACUCAAUAGCCCCAAUUCGCAGGAUUCCUUCACAUUGGUAUAAAGGCCCUCCCACACCACUUUUGAUUUUUCAACCUCUCCUUUUUUAUCCUCUUCUUCCUUUUCUCUCUUUCUCUCUCUGCCUUCGUUCGUUUUUCACUAUUAACGCCUUUUGCCCUAGGUAAUACACGAGCUUCAUACAUCGUAUCGAUAGCGUUGAUCUAGCUAGUUGGAUCGUCGAAGUCACUCGGUGGAAAGAUCGUUCUCUCUUCCUUUUUGUUUUUUAUUAGUCAGAGAUCGUAUUGACGGUCCUGGUCGUUCCUUCUGGUUCCUUUUUCUUUCUCUUUCGAACCACCCUUGUCUAGCCGAGUGACGGCCAACGAAAUCGGGUUAAUGUCCACGACAAUGACCACGAUUUCGUCCAAUGAAAGCGUUCACGGGCGAUCUUCCUUCCGGAGCGGAGGCGCGCUUUUUAUCGGCACCGACUGGCCGAACUGGCGAACUAGCAAUUGCGGAGGGGUGGUUUCCAGGCUGUAAUGGACUUCCAUGUACAAGGUGUUCACCACCGUUCCGGAACUCUCGUUACAAUCCUUUUAACGAGAUCUUUUUACCGGCUCGACCGAGUCGUUUGUUAUAGUACAUACACUGGAGAGGGUCAUCGCGUCAUUUCAUGUUGCUUUUUUUAGUUUUAUGUAGCUAUUCGGGAAUCUAGUCCUCCAUGAGCAUUUAACUUUUAUACUAUUGUACUGUAGAUACAUGGAAAUGAAAAUAAAGAAACUAAGAAUGUUAGCAAACUAAUUGAAAUUGCAAGGGUACAAAUAAUUUUUAAAAUUUUGUUGUUGUUUAAUUGCCUGACUAAUUCAUUACUAGUGUUAAUUUUAAAUAGGAAAGUUUCUAUUCUUGUUUUUACCAGUUUUUCUUAUGAGAUUUCAUCCUCGAAUUGUUCAUUAAUUGAUCAUCCAAAAAUAGAUCGUUUCGUUAAUUGAUAUUAUGACAAUCGAGAUUAUACGAUGCUUAAUCAUGUUUCUACCUGAAUGAAUGUCAAUAAUAAUUUUGCCAAAGUUUAUGCAUGUUUUUAGUAAUUGAAAAAGCAAAGAAUCUUCGUAACUCUAGUGUCUAUUCAUUUAUUAUCGGUGAUGUAUAGCGUUUGCGAAAAAUUACGUCAUUUUUUGUGGCGUUUCAAGUAUCAUUACCUAAUUCUUUUACGUCUGACAUAAUGAACUGUUCGCAAAGAGGGUGGUAAGUUACAUGAGUCGUUCUAGUUUAUCAUAAUGGCUAUAAAUAAAGGUAUUAAGUAUAGCCAUGAACGAACUACUCGAUCGUGUGGACUUCCCUUCUUCCAGACCUCCCCAGUUUCUACAUAAAUUGCCGAAAUAUCUACACGAGCUGUCGAACGUGAGCCACAGCAUAGCAGGGGUUCUUUAGACGGGGUAAUAAAGAUAUAAGACAGCGUUUUAUAGGCUGACGUCGUAGCUGGGUUCGAAAGCGCUUGGCAGAUGCCAUUAGCGAUGGUUACGAAUAAUGCUUGAACAAAUACAACAUCAUAUCCAAUACAUUGUUUCUCUCAUUUUCUCAAAUAAAUCCCAAUUUUGAACUAUUUAUUUCCAGCCUCUUUUCUCCUAACAGAAUCUAAUAUCAAAUAUCGAAAUCAUUAACCGUACGAUAGAAAAUUCCUCAUGAUAGAAAGCUCUAAAAGUUGUUCUCUACGUUCGACUUUCAUUUAGAAUUUAGGACAACUCCCCAGAAACCAUAGGCCGGUAUUUUCGAAGAAAGAUAGCCGGGUCGGUUCAUAAAUCAUUAUUUGAUUUCGUAACAAUGAUAUUAUCCCGGUUGAUUUUGCUCCACGCGAGGAAUGCUCGUUUCUUUCCCCUCUUAACCAUUUCUCAAUUUACGAGAGCAAACCGUUGUUAGCGCAACAUUCACCCAGGAGAGGAGAGGUUGAUUUAUGCGUGGUUCAAACAAGCCACUAACCUUCGUAUGUUCGCGUUCAAAGCGACUUAAUACGAGUCGAUGAAAUAUUUAUACACAGGGGCAUCCUUAUUUGGUGUUUCUUCCAGCGAAGAACUAUGCCUCUCGCAAUCAAAUUUUGAUGAGCUAUUAACAGGAGAGAUUCAUAGAGGAGACUAUACACAUCGAAGACAAUCAUGGUGGAGAGACUUAUAACGAAGGUUUAUGAAAAAGGUAUGCUAAACGCGAUCAUAUCUUCGUUAUGGGAAAGAAGGACACGCGAUGACCACGUAACGUAUGUAUAUCGUUAUCCGUGGAAGAUGUAAAUUCAGUAGGAGAACUUCAUUUUCAUCCAUCUUGCUUUGUCCCUGUCACGCUGAACGUAGAUUCUAGCCGCUGGUAUGAAAAAUAGACGUUCACCUUUAACGGUACAUAAUGCUUCGAAACGAUGAACAAUAUUUCCUGCUACGCGGCAUCGUUAGAAUGAGAAUAAAUUUCCAUUUUGAGCACGCAGACGACACAGUAUAUUAAACUGCUCCCUUCUAAAUUUCCCGCCCAAGACUCGGCGCGAUAUAUUUCAGACUGAAACCCUCUUAAAGAGAUCCCUCUGAACUCCCUGUUGUACAUUUGUCGCCUGGUAUAAUAAUUCAAUUGGCUGUCUUUCGUUAUUAAUGCAUCUAUCGAUUCUCCUUCCUUUCUUCAGAAUUUUUACGACAGUCGUCUGUCAAUUAGCCUGUCAAUUUUCGAACACUUUUCAAAUGGACCGGGAUAUUACUCUGGUGAGAGAUAGUAAGUGGAGAUGGCUGUUGAGCAAUCAAUUUGUGGCAAUCAAUUUGUAGAAAAUUGCUUUUAUUGCUCACUACGUUCUCUAUGUUUUAUUUAAAGACAGGAAAAUGUUAUUCACUUUUUUCAGCAGUUAUAUAUUUCUCUGUUGAAUUAGAACGAGAAAAUGUUACAAAUGGUAAUAUAUUGCACGCGUCAUAUGAUUCGACGCGAUCUACUCCACUUUUUGUACAUUUCUUAAUUUCAUUGCAUAGGUAUACAAUUACUUCAAUGAGUUCAUUCACCGCAAGAAGAUAUAUAACCAUAAAUAAAAUAGAUUUUAAGCUAAAUUUAAGAUAUAGUAUCUGUUAAAAUCAAUGUCCAAUCGGUUGGAAAUAAAAUCGUGCAGAAUAAGUGUUACAGAGAAUACUGUAUGAAAUUCAAAUGCAAUAUUAUUUUUCAGAUAAAAGGAAAAAAGAGUAAUUUACCAGUUUUAUACUAUUUUACGGUUAUUGCCUUUUUCCAGAAUUUAACGUCGUGUACCUUUUACAAUCUCGAAUAAACUAUCGCUAUAACUUCCAUAAUAGAUCUAAUUACGAAAUUCUGUCUCCGCUCAUAUAUCUUGCCCCUGUCUAAGUGAAACGAUCGUAAAAAAAUGAUGUCCACAAUUCAUGGCCGUAAGACAGAUCUCUUAUCUCUUUCGCCCUCCAACGAAUCCUCUAUUCGCGAUGUUUCGCGUCAGCUGAAAAAUCUAGGCCGAUAGGUGCUCGCUGAAACCGUAUAUAAUGUCGGUGUGGCGGUCGUUUAAAAAUUGAACAAGCCAGCUAUCGAAGCAGGGUUGCACCCCAUAAAUUAUCCGCAGGGGGUCGAGCGAUUCUUCUCGCGAGGCCGAUGACUCCGGGCAACCAAAGUCGCCUGGGAUCAUGAGUUAUGGCUGUACAGUGACUCUGCAACACGUUGUUGAUCGGCGUUCGCUUUGUGACAUCGCUUUUAAGCCGACCGGCCUUCUAUCUCGCGGCGUUUCCUUGACAUUUAUAUUUCUGACAUCGCGGGAGAGAUAUAUAACCACGAGCCGAGAUUUCAAACUGAACAUCCUAACAGAGGAGGGUGAUCGUUAAACGGAUCGAUACCUCGUUACGUAAUGAGCAAUUCUUUGUUCGUCCUCGACGACGCAAUUGAAAACGGUGUUUCAUUGUUAAGGAGACAAGAGAAAGGGAGAGUUUCAACGUUCGAUCCUUUUCUCUCGAGACCUCAUCUUUCCUUCUUCUCUUAUAGUUUCUGUCUCCCUUCCGGACGUAUACGUCGAGAGGAUCCCGUGUUUGAAUGUAACCUCCGAGUGGGAGGAUCGUUAUGUUCUUAUCCGGUGAUUCGAUGAACAAGAGAGGGGAGAGAAGGGAAUAAUAGCGAUUGGGAGGCGGCUUUUUCCAAUCGAACGAUCCUCGCGAGAUUAACGCCGGCCGUAAAUGCGGUAUUACGCUUAAAACGACGCAACGAUCAUCGUGAUGAAGUUUGUCGAUGCUCGAUAACAAUCCAAUCUAUGUAAUUUGCCGAUUCGCGCGACAAAGAGCAUCCGCGAUUGCGGCGUCGAAAUUUGUAUGGAUGUCCAACCAGGCAACGAAAUACGGCGUAAUAAUUUAUUAUGUUUUGUACGUAUUGAUAAUAUUUCGUUUCCGGCGGAAACGCGGAUAAAUAACAAUGCGGAAACUGCACUUCCGUUGUGAAAAUUUCCACAUUUCGUAAAUACGGCUGUUUAAUUUCUCAUUUCCUCUGUAUUAGUUAAGGUGAAUUUAUAUUAAACGACUUUUACAAACCGAUCUUUUUUAUUUAAUAAUUUAUCUAUUAAUAAAGCGACAAGUUAUGAAUUACAGGUAACACACGUCGAUUUCAUAGUUUCAACAUUUUUUUGUCGAAUAAGAUAAAUCGAUGGUUCCAGCGUUAACGUGUACAAUCACCACGAACACUAGCCAAACCAACUGCGAAGCCUAAAAUAUAAUUUCUAAUUUAUUCCAAACAAUUUCCACAUGAUUUAUCUCUCUCUGACCACAUACCUAAGCCGUCCAAUCAUCGUGCCGAUGCUAAUUGUUUCUUUCGUAGAAUGCAGGCGUGUAAGGGUCAUUCGAUCACGCACUUGAUGAUCUAUAACAGUGUAAAUCCCGUUUAGCGAGAUACAGGUGGCUAUCCUAUACACCGGAUAUAGAGCCUGAUGAAUAGCCAAGCACAAUCUUGCGGUGUACAGUGGCUUAGACGGCAAACAUACUGAUACGGCAUUGGAACCGCUUGGCAAAGCGAGCUUCCAGUUUGGAUUCGUCUUUGGAUCGUUAUAUUCAAGAAACAUGAAAUUCCUUUGAGACAAGUGGUGGACGAUAACGUAAAACCGUGUGAUGAAAUGCGAAAGGUGGAUAUUCGAUAUUACGGUUAAAUUAUAACUGCAUUCUCAAACAAUUUUCUUAUGGCGAAAGAAAAAAUAGACCAUACGUGAUAUUGUCCAUGUUGCACACUUUGCAUAUUGGAAAAAUCGAUGAACUUAUCGGGGAUUUUGCUGUGGAAAAAUAUAAUUCGAAACAAGAUUAGCAUUAGAUUAACUUGGAUUCGUUUCAUCGUAUUCGG